UCUUAAGAGCACUGACAAGUUUUAAGCCUCACCUAAUUUGCUUGUAGGUUGGCUUCUCCGAUUAUAGCAAACGUUUUUAGUUUUAGUUGGCUAUUUCUCGUAUUAGUCGGAUUCCUCAAUUCUCAAUUUCUCGUUUGCUUAUCUGCUCCAUGUUUUACACCGCUUAUUCAAUAUAGGUUAUUUUCCUCAUUCUCUAUCUAUGUAAUGAUGUUCUUGUUGAUGAUGAUGGACUGUCAAAUUCCUCAAUUCUCGAUUUCCCAUUUGUAUAUACCUUCCACGUUUUCCACUGCUUAUUCAAUACCAAUUUUCUUCUUCAUUCUCUCUCUAGGUAACGAUGUUCUUAUCGAUGAUGGUAUGUAUCCACCGUAUGGCUUCAUUUAGAAUUAUUUUCCAGUAAAUCCUCUAUGUUUCAACCAUUAUGUGACAUCCAUGAAGGAUCAAGUCAUUUGAUUUUCAUCUUUCGGAAGCUAGGGUUACGUCCAAGGUAAAAAUGAUUUGGGGGUUUUCAAUUCUUGCUAGAAACUAAUUUUAUAAGGGCCUAACAUAUAAUACUUACGGUUUUUAUUGCAAAUACGCUUGAAUCGUUCCCCUUUCGUAAUUUCUAUGAGCACUAUAAAAUAUUCUUUUAUUUUCCACAAAUAUCAAGUAAUUUCUUAAGGGUAAACCCAGGUAUGUUGGUGGUGAAUAGUAUAUGGAGGAAAUCGAGUUCUGAAUGCCUCUAUUAUGACAACUUUGGGAUUUAGAUGGUGGAAAAAGAUCACUAGCAUUCCGCUUCAAAAUUACAUGAGAAUCUAAAGGUAUCAACCAAGAUUCUUUUCAACUUUUAUGAUUGCUACUAUUUGGUUGGCGUUCCUGAUAACUUAAACCAAACCUUUUACUUCUCUAGGUUUAAUCUACUUCUGUUAUAUAGUAAGAUAAGAUAAUUUUCAAUUUGAAAUGUUUUGUUACCUUCAAGCAAGAACCAGUAUGCAAUCUAUAACAUCUCCAAGAACACUUACGAACUCAAGGGUUUUAAAAUGUUUCAGUAAAAAUCAUAGAGAAUUUGAUAAUUUGGUUAGAACAUAAUUUAACAAUGCACUUCUGUUGAAGUCAUUAUGGAUUUGACAUGUUAGUAACUUAAAAUCAUUAUGGAUUCAACCUGGUUGUGUAUAAUAAUUCACUAUUGUUGAUUAGCUUGUUAUAUUAUUAUGCUUCUAAUUUUGUCUAUAAUACCAAUGUAAUUUUCAAAAAUCCAUCCAAUUUCAACAAAGUCUUUGAUAUUGCUAAGAUUAGUCAUUUAAUGUGAUUAAUUAUAUUAGUAAUUUAAAUAGACAAUUAUAGAAUAAGGAGAAAUAUGAUACAAAUAUGCUAAUAUAUGAUAAUUAAGUCCAAAAUCAAGAGAUAAGCCUUAAAGAAGAAAAAAUGAGCAAAAAUGGAGUGGAUAAUGAAGAAAAUCAAAGAUAAAACAAAUUGUGGAGUUACCAUCGAGACAAAUAAAUGUUAGUGAUGCAAAUUAGAAGAUUAUUUUGGGGUUAGCUUCGUGCCAAUAAGUUUAAUUACAUAUAAAUACGAGGAUUUCACAUCUCAAAAAAGUGUGAAAGAAACAAAAAAACCCUCUGAUGUACGAAAGGAAUGCUUAUUUCAUUCCUAAAGGCAGAGAGGUUGAAGAGGUGAUCUAGAAGAGAAUUAUGGAAGAAAUCAAGAACAAAUUAUUAGGUUUGCAAUUCUUGGCAAUCUUUUUAUUUGUUUCUUUCGUUUUUCCGUAAAACACGAGAGACUAAAAACUUACUCUUCAAUAAAUUUCUUAUUUUUAAUACCUAUCAUUGAGUUGCAUAUGAUUCUAAAUCUAGUUAUUGUGACUUGCUGCUUAUAUUUUUGACCUAGAAACUAUUAAAUACCAGUGAUUAAAAAAUCCUAGGUUUAUGUGGUAUUAAUUGAUAUAUUUAACAUAUAACAGUGCAUUGGUUUUACAAGUAUUGUUAGGCUUAAUCUUAUUAAACUACUGAUUUAAUCAUAGGUAAUUUUAGACAAUUAAUUUGUUUAAAGGUUUCUAGUUUGAUAAACAUUGAAUUAGAUAUUUACUAAUCAUAAAAACUAGUAAUUAAUCUUAUGUGUUAGUAUAAUUUGUAGAAUCAUAAUACUUCAUUACACUAUCAUCAAGUCACUACUGGAAAUAAAGAUUUGAAGUUUAAGUGCUCAUUACACUAUCAUCAAGUCACUACAGGAAAUAAGGAUUCGAAGUUUAAGUAGAAGUCCUUCAAAAUCAUUCUAUAAAACUAGUAUUUUUUUUUAAGAAUUUGAGUUUAAUCGGAUUAAAUUAUAAACCUCGUGAAUUUAAUUCUUUUCAGGUAAAUUGAUUCAGUCUGUUAAUAGUCAUACCUAAUCGCCGAGAGUUUGACACCCUUAUUUACCAUAACUAUAAUAUAUUUGAUCAAUGUGAGUGUUAAAUAAGAAGUAUUAGAUAAAGGUUUUAUAAAUUUACAACUUAAAGAAAAGUUUAUAUAAAAAUUUCACAUCAAAUGUUUUGUGCCAUUAUCGUGGAUUAGUUUUAUCUUUAGCAGAUUAAUUAAUUUUGUAAAUCGUACUUAGAAUUUUAUUUUAUGUAUUUAUCUGGUUAAAAAGUUGUAUGAAUUCAUGAUUUUCACUAUGUGAAAACCCUAUUAUCGCAUCGUGAAUAUUGCUGAUUCCGGAUUCUAUUUAUAAUUACUUUUUGUUCAAUUUUAUGCUUAUUUUAGUUUUUUUUAUAUUAUUUGUAACAAUAAAUGACCAGAGGGUUUAGUUCUAGGCUCGAUUCACUAUUUGAAGAUCCCAUUGUGAGUUACACAAAAGACUAAAGAAGGGCGAAAAAAGAUUUACGGACAAAGAAGACUAUCUUUUCGAGAAAAGCCAACCAUAAUUAGAGUAAAGAAGUGAACAGGAAGAUCAGGAAGAUAUGACGGACUAAUCGGUCUAUUUUUAUAAAAAAAAUCAAUUUUAUUAAAUUUCUUGAUUUGAUGUUUGACUGCCUAUGAAUGGAACUACUUUGAUAGAAUGUUGAAUAUUAUGUGUAGGUAAUUAUAUAGUCAUAAAGUUGGCGGAACCUGCAUGGAAAACUAGCAAAAGGAAACUAAUAACCAUGAUAUAUGAAUUGCUAAAGUGAUGAAGAAAAUGUUGUUGGGAAAAUUAACCACUCUUAAAUGUUAUUGUCAUAUCUAAAGCUCUGGAGCACCAAUUGAACUGAUUCUAGAAGAUUAGGAAACUAGAGAAAAUUUCCUACAACUUUCAUGUUUUGAGUUUCUAUUGAUUAUGUCGUUUUCAUCAGCAAAAAUGUGCAUGGAAGAUGAAGGAUGUGUGUCAUGCAUCAAUGACAGCCUGAAGGAUGUUGUGGUCAAAUCACUCAAUAUCUUAGUAGAUAGUAGAACAGGAAAUGAAGAAACCAUGUUGGUAUCAAACAUGGUCUAAAUGAUGUCACCAAGGAUACCAGAGCUUUAUUCGGAUGUAUCGUGUUGGAAUGGUGACUUACGAAAAGUGCUUAAACUUGCAAAGGACGCCCAUCAGGCAUCAAGGUCAUCCCCAAGGAUGCCUACCCACUUUAGGCCAUUUUAUAGUGCAAAAUCAAGGAAGAAAAAUACCAUGCAAAAAUGGUAUCAAGGACGCCUAGGCAUCCUGCACGACAUCAAGGAUGUUACCAAAGAUGUCCACCGUCCCACAUUUGUAAUAGUCAGAAUUUAGGUAAUUACUUUUCUUUCCCUUAGAAUGAAUUUUCUUUUCAAGAAGAGUCCCUACAUAUGUUGGGCGUACAUAGGUGUACGCUUAGCAUAAUAGGGAAGGCUGGUCGCGGACAUGCACCACGUAUGCGAGGCGUACCAAGAAGUACAUGGGACGUACGUGGCUCAAUACUCUUAUGUUGCUUGGACCUUACCCUAUACAGCCUCCAUAGUAAAUUAUCAUCCCAAAUCCCUUGAUUUGCAUGAGAGUGUAAUCUUUGAGCUUAAAAGUGUUUUGGUGGCCAUUUUAGUGGGUUUACAAGAAGAAGAUAGUGGUGAUCAAGUCUUGGAUGUUAUUGAGCUUCCAAGUCCUGCAUCUAGUUCAUCUUGAGGAACUUCUAGAGAUAAAAAGUCUAUACCUUGCCAUCUCUUUUUCUAGUUUGAGUAAGGGUUUGUUGUGAAGUCCAUUUUUCGUUAAUGGACCCUUUCUUGUGAGUUUGAGCAACUCCAUAGGCUUGAAAUGUUAGAUCUAAGCUCCGUGGACAUGCUUGAUGCAUAAAAAUGCCAUUUUGAAGGUUGUAUUGGUAUCAUGCAUGAGUUUAAGGUCUUAAAAGUGGACUUAAUGGGAAAAAUGGGGUAUUGGAGUUCCAUGUGGCAUGCAAGGGCAUAAAGUUACCAAUUUUAUGGCCUAGGACAUCCUAAUAGACUCAUAUCUAGAGUUAGACGUUGAGAUCUCAAGUAUUAAGCACUUAAUGGACUUUUUUGUAUGGGUUGUUUGUACGCCGGGCGUAAUGAUUUCUACGUUGUGCGUACGGAAAAGGACUUAGUACGUUAAGCGUACUGAUGUAGUAUGGUGGGCGUAUGCAACCCAAAUGUGUUUGGGCUUCAUUGGGCUUGUAAGCUUAUUGGACCAUAUUCAACCUUGGGCCUGUACCCAAGAAGAAUUAUUGGACUUUUGUUCUAGCUUGGGCUAUAGUUGGCAUGAUUGGGCCUUUUGGGUCUGGUGGCUCAUUAUGGUUUUGGACUUUAAUGUUGGGCCCAUUAAGGAAAGGGAGGCCUUUGGGCCAUCAUGGAGGGACUUGGACUUAGGAUUUUGGGCCUUUGUCUAGGUUGUGUCAUAAUCCUAAUUAGGGCUAUUUGUAUAUUCUUACAGUGUGAGAAUUUGGAUUGGUAGUCGAGCAGCUAUUGUUUUCAGCAGACUGAGGUGAGUCUUCUCAUUAUACCAAUAGGUCAAAGGCACCAAUGUCGGCCCAUUACUUGAUAUGAGGUUUCAAUAGUUAAAUAUGCAAUGGUUUUGUUAUUUGGUAGGUUAUGACUUAUGUGAAGAGCAUGGGGGAUGCCAUGGCACUUAGUAAAGACUAUGGUGGGAGCUUAUGGCCCAUGGAUGUAAGACCAUGGGGUAGCCCAUGACAUUCCGGGUGAAGACCAUGGUGGGAGUCCACGGCAAUCCUAUGUAUAUAUGUCACAUGGCAGUAUGUACUUAUAUGUUUUGUGUAUUUUGGGAACUCACUAACCAUUUGCUUACAGUUUUGUUGGGUGUUUCAGGUACUUCUAGUUCUAAGGGCAAUGGCACGACUUGAUGGCGCAACAUGCACUCUCCAGUAUUUCCGCAUUCAUUGUUUUGGAUACUCUGAUUUUAUGUACUUGAGUUUAUGUAAUGGUAUUUUGCAAAACAAAAUAUGGUUGUAAUCUUUAAAUAUUAAAUGAAAAAUUUUACCUAAAUUUUUGGGGUAUUACAAAUUGGUAUCAAAGCCUUGGUUUGAGGGGUUUGGGCACACUUUCAGGUGUGUCAGAACACAAACCGCGGAACUGGUAAACGCUUUUUCAAAAGAAACAAAAGUUAACUUUUUCUGAGAAAGG
rnacentral:lncRNA from 1 species